GGGUGCCUGAAGCUUUCCGGUUUCAGGUUUACUCUGAGGUCUGGAAAGAUGAAGCCCCAGGACGAUAUUUCUAUCAACCCUGGGGCUGCCACUCCAAACCCAAACAAUUUGGAUGGUAGUCCCUUCUUCGCAUGGAGGCAAUAUAAACAUGCUGACG
rnacentral:antisense_RNA from 1 species